GAUGAAGAACGUAGCGAAAUGCGAUAAGUAAUGUGAAUUGCAGAAUUCAGUGAAUCAUCGAAUCUUUGAACGCACAUUGCGCCCGUCAGUAUUCUGGCGGGCAUGCCUGUUCGAGCGUCAUUACGCCCCUCAAGUCCCCUGUGGACUUGGUGUUGGGGAUCGGCGAGGCUGGUUUUCCAGCACAGCCGUCCCUUAAAUUAAUUGGCGGUCUCGCCGUGGCCCUCCUCUGCGCAGUAGUAAAACACUCGCAACAGGAGCCCGGCGCGGUCCACUGCCGUAAAACCCCCUAACUUUUUAUAGUUGACCUCGAAUCAGGUAGGACUACCCGCUGAACUUAAGCAUAUCAAUAAGCGGAGGA
rnacentral:misc_RNA from 1 species